CAGUUUUAGAAGUGAGGCACUGUACUUAUUGACAAAUAAUCUAUCUGUCUGCUCUGUCUCUGUCUCUCUGUUUGUCUUCCUCAGGAUGAAAGCAGCUCCUCUGACCACAGUGACUUGGAUAUCUCUGUCAGCCCUCUGCCAGCUGUCUGCCCACGCCUACCUGCAGCCCCCAAUCCACAGAAUGUACCCACAGUCAGGAAACAAGCUCUUCUGUUCCAGAAACCAGAUAUGCUGUGGCACCCUCUGUCUUCGGCAAGGAGGAGUACAACAGUGCCAAGGCCCGUCUCACUCAACUAAGACUGAGAUGGUUAGCAGAGUGUCGUUGUCCUCCAGUAGGGGUUUCUCUCUGAGGAAGACUGACGACGACCCCCGACCUUCCAUGCCGCCCCAGAACCACCACAGCACUCAGCAGCUUUACAGAGAGAGCAGCAGGUCAUAGAGCCCCACGGUAGCCGACGCGAUGACCCCCGACCUUCCACACCACCCCAGACCCACCACAGGACUCAGCAGGUCCUGGCUGAGGUGUGUUCGUGGGACCUCGCCCCUGUUCCUGAGCAACACAAGAAGGUCUGUCACAGCCUGGCAGUGGUGUCUGGAGGAGUUGGACUCGAGUGUGAACCUGUUGGGUGAUGGACCCUGUUCGGCCUGCUGUCAGCCUGCCCACUACUGGGCAGCCUCUCCCUGCCGGCCUGCAGCCUCACAGCCUGCUACCAGUAGCCAUACAGCCUCAUACUGGCCAGCGCCUUUGCAGAUAAACAGCAACACUGCAUCGUACUGGCCAGUACCCUGGCAGGAACAGGGCACCUGAAGUCAGUGAAUCUGUCCCAUAACGCCCUGUGCUCUAUGGGCUUUGAGCUGGUCCUGAAGACUCUGCCUCUCCAAUGUCUCACUCAACUCGAUGUCUGCCAUCCGCUGUGGAACCACUGACCACCCUCCUUCAAAACAUCUCAAACACACACACACAAAUGCACACACCGACACACACACACACACAAAUUCAAAUAAAGUUAUUCUAUUGUGUACUUUCACAUUAAUUAAGCAUUGUUUGUCUAAAGAAAUGCAUAAACUAUCACAUGAUCUACAGUAAGUAUUUACUUAGUAGAGGAAAUUUGUCCAGGAAGGUACACGAUAAAGACUGCAAAUCUAAGAAAUGGAUCAGUAAAUUAUGAGGAGCUUUUAAUAGAAUUUGUUGAAACAAUUGGUUGCGUUUCUGGUCUGAGGCAGGCGCCUUGCAAGUUGAGUAAACAUUUCACAGUUUGAAAAGGAAGUUUGUCAUCCGCUUAUCUGCUGCACAACUUUGCCUUUGGUAUUCAAGCUAAGAAACGUAUUGAUAUGGUAAUUAGGAUACAAUGGUUGUAUCUUAAUUGUAUAUUUGACUUCAUGGGGAGCUAUGGCAAGAUGAUAUUUAGAGGAGCAAAUGUAGUUGUCACACCCUGAUCUGUUUCACCUGUCUUUGUGAUUGUCUCCAUUAUCCCCUGUGUAUUUUAUACCUGUGUUCUCUGUUGGUCUGUUGCCAGUUCGUCUUGUUUGUCAAGUCAACCAAUGUUUUUUUGUCUCAUGUCCUGCUUUUCCCAGUUUCUUUUUCUCGCCCUCCUGGUUUUGACCCUUGCUUGUCCUGUCUCUGAGCCCUCCUGCCUGACCACUCCACUUGACCCUGCCUGCCGUCCUAUACGUUUGCCCCACCUCUGGAUUAUUGACCUCUGCCUACCCUGACCCUGAGCCUGCCUGCCUGCCGUCCAGUACCGUUGCUCCACCUCUAGUUACUGACCCCUGCCUGCCUUUGACCUGUCUAUUGCCGGCCCCUGUUGGAUUAUUAAACCAUUGUUAAUUCGGCGUUGUCUGCAUCUGGGUCUUACCUUCAUACCUGAUAGUAGUGAUGGCUCCUCUGUAAGUAAGAUUCAUGUCAACUAGUAAUGUUUAAACUGAGAACUCAACACUGACAUAUUGGGUGAUAGUACUAUGUCUAACUGCCUGGUUAAGGGCAUACCAUGAGAUCUGGGAUUGACUGGUCCCUUGCUGAAAAUGGAAAAGGAGUCACAGAGAACAUGGUUCUCGUUGGUUCCUUUGUGUGUUCCACAGGAUGACUGCUCCCUGACCCACCUGAAUCUGGCGGGAAAUGGACUGAUGGACAGCAGCCUUUCCAUCCUCGCCAGGUGUCUGCCUCUCUGUCCCUCCAUGGUGUCUGUGGACCUGCCAUGGAACCCAUCGGUGACCUCAGCGGGACUCCACAGCAUCCUCUCCAACCGGCGACCUUUGACCUAUCUCAACCUCCAAGGUUGUCAGGUAGCCGGACCCUGGGACAGCUCUAGUUUGGACAACUUGUCAGACCAGGUCCAGGACCUGUGGCUGUGCUCCCAGGUGCUCAACAAACUGGACUGCAAGGCGCUGCAGCAGAUCUGGGGCCAGAGGAGGCCCGGGUGCUGCUUCCUCUCCAGGGAUGCCAAGUGCCUGCUCACUACUGCCCCUUCACUGUGAGGAAGACUCCUUGAGUUUUCACACCUUUAAAGACUGGUGUCGCUUCGAUUCCAAUGUGUACUUGAGAUGAUUUACACUCCUUGGUCCUCAUAUUUGAGGCAUCUUUUGGUGACACAGGCUGCAGAGGGAUCUCGGCACCAAUAUUUUGAAUGCAUUAUGUAGGUAUAAUUAUUACAGGGUGUGUGUGGGAACUCUUUCAAGACUGUUGGAAAAGUUUUCCUCAAGAAGCUGGUUGAGAGAAUGUCAAGAGUGAAAAGCUGUCAUCAAGGCAAAGGGUAGCUAGCUACCUUGAAGAACCUCAAAUAUACCAUUUGUUUAACACUGUUUUGGUUACUACGUGAUUCCAUAUGUGUUAUUUCAUAGUUUUGAUGUCUUCACUAUUAUUCUACAAUGUAGAAAAUAGUUUUUAAAAAAUAAGAAAAACCAUUGAAUGAGUAGGUGUGUCCAAACGUUUGACUGGUACUGUACGUGUAAAUUGAGUCUGUAUUUGUAUUUAUUCUAAGUUUUGUGAGUAUUCAAUGGAAAACACAAAUAUUAAGUGAACAUAAUCAUCAUUAUUUAACUCCAUUUGCCAUGGUGCUUUUUUCCAUGCAACCCCCCAACAGUUGCUGACUGACUGAAGAAAUGGUCAAGCUGAGAAAUUAUUAAAUUGCUGCAUUCUGUCAAGUUCCCCCUAGUCUCUUCCCACAGCCGCUGUAUCUCCAACACCAACACUGGAGCGUCAUGAGUCUUGCAAAUGAAACCGUUUUCACACCCAACUUGGUGUGAGUUUCUAAAGACACACAGCUUCACACUGUGGUUUCAUUCCUUUUUAGUUAACCCACUGACUGGCCUUCUUCUCACUGUUUAAUGUUUCUACAGAGGAAGGUUUUGGGUGAGCGUCAAGAUACUGUGGGAAAGUGCCUAGUCACACAUCAGUGUUGUCACCUCAGUGUAUCACUAUAUCACUCAGAGAUUGGGCCAAAGCGAUUAUGGUUAGGAUAACUAAUUUCAUCACCUGUUAUUGUAAUUUCCAAUUUCUAAAAAGCAAUUACUAAAUGGUUUGUGUUAGUUCAACUUGUGGAUGGUGUUACUGCCACCUUGAUAACUAUUUAAGCAUACCCAUGUGUGUAAAGGGAUGCUAACCACUCUUAUGGUUGGGACAUUUUUGAAAACAUGCACAAACCUUUUCACAGUUUGAAAGAUGUAGUAUGCAUGCAUACUGAAAUACUUUCUAGAAAGUGCAGCAAGUACAUAUUAGUGGUCACGGAGUCUCUUCCCGCAGCUGCUGUGUCUUACCUAUUAGUUUGAGGGAAACCAGACUAUGACAUGCAUGUGGUUAUGCUCUAGUCUAGCUAGAAUCCUCUCA